UCCGGGGGAGGUUGCGGCAUCCACCUCACUGAAGGUUUUUAAGAAUAGGUCCCUGGUGGUGAUACAAGUCCUGCUAAGAUAAAAGAGAAGACGCUGGGUAGCAUGGCUUAUUAAAAAUGGCAUUUAAGAGAUCUGCUGUUCAAGAUUGAGGGCCUAUGGAGAGGAAAUCACCACAUAAUCCAAACUGCUCUGUGUCUGCCCAUAUUGAGGGGUUUGGCCGAGCCUCAUGGAGCAGCACUCGAGGCACUGCUGAGUUGUAGAGAUCUUCCUGGUUCUUUUCAUCAGACCUCAGGAGACCUCCUGGACUGAGACAUUGGCAGAUGACAGCGUCACACUCCGCUGCAGAUGUAUUUUUACAGAUGGAGGUGGCCACUGAGGGAAAGGCCAUGGGAUCACUCACCAGUUUCCCGGUGCAGAUGGCUCCUGGCUAGAAUGCUUCUUUGCCUGAGCCUGGUGCUACUGUCUGCAGGAGCAAGAAAUGAAGGCACUCCAGAGAGCACGCACACGAGAGAGAGAACGAACGAACACACAGGCUACUAUUCCACUGUAAAAGACCACAGCAAGAGGUGGCCAAUGUGGCUUCAUCAAGGACUAAUCAGAGAUCUGAGGUAUAAUAGCAGCUUUCCUUGGAAGUGAGACAGAAGCAAAAGAUAAUAUAAUCAGUUAAUACUGCAGAGAAAAGAUAAAGGUUGUGAAAAUGCAGGAUUAGAGCAGCCAAAGAGGGUAAAGGUAUGUGUGUGGGGGAAGGGGGGAAUCAGAACAGGUACUACUAACAUGGGGAAAGCCAGAAAGAAAUUAGGUCCAUUACUA